rnacentral:snRNA from 1 species
GUGCUCGCUUCGGCAGCACAUAUACUAAAAUUGGAACAAUACAGUGAAGAUUAGCAUGGCCCCUACACAAGGAUGACAUGCAAAUUCAUGAAGCGUUCCAUAUCUUU